GAUGAACGCUGGCGGCGUGCCUAAUACAUGCAAGUCGAGCGAACGGACGAGAAGCUUGCUUCUCUGAUGUUAGCGGCGGACGGGUGAGUAACACGUGGAUAACCUACCUAUAAGACUGGGAUAACUUCGGGAAACCGGAGCUAAUACCGGAUAAUAUUUUGAACCGCAUGGUUCAAAAGUGAAAGACGGUCUUGCUGUCACUUAUAGAUGGAUCCGCGCUGCAUUAGCUAGUUGGUAAGGUAAAGGCUUACCAAGGCAACGAUGCAUAGCCGACCUGAGAGGGUGAUCGGCCACACUGGAACUGAGACACGGUCCAGACUCCUACGGGAGGCAGCAGUAGGGAAUCUUCCGCAAUGGGCGAAAGCCUGACGGAGCAACGCCGCGUGAGUGAUGAAGGUCUUCGGAUCGUAAAACUCUGUUAUUAGGGAAGAACAUAAGUGUAAGUAACUGUGCACAUCUUGACGGUACCUAAUCAGAAAGCCACGGCUAACUACGUG
rnacentral:rRNA from 1 species